rnacentral:rRNA from 1 species
AUGAACGCUGGCGGCGUGCCUAAUACAUGCAAGUCGAGCGAACGGACGAGAAGCUUGCUUCUCUGCUGUUAGCGGCGGACGGGUGAGUAACACGUGGAUAACCUACCUAUAAGACUGGGAUAACUUCGGGAAACCGGAGCUAAUACCGGAUAAUGUUUUGAACCGCAUGGUUCAAAAGUGAAAGACGGUCUUGCUGUCACUUAUAGAUGGAUCCGCGCUGCAUUAGCUAGUUGGUAAGGUAACGGCUUACCAAGGCAACGAUGCAUAGCCGACCUGAGAGGGUGAUCGGCCACACUGGAACUGAGACACGGUCCAGACUCCUACGGGAGGCAGCAGUAGGGAAUCUUCCGCAAUGGGCGAAAGCCUGACGGAGCAACGCCGCGUGAGUGAUGAAGGUCUUCGGAUCGUAAAACUCUGUUAUUAGGGAAGAACAUAUGUGUAAGUAACUGUGCACAUCUUGACGGUACCUAAUCAGAAAGCCACGGCUAACUACGUG